UACGGGGGGGGCAAGCGUUGUUCGGAAUUACUGGGCGUAAAGGGCGCGUAGGCGGCCUGCUAAGUCACACGUGAAAUCCCUCGGCUCAACCGGGGAACUGCGUGUGAUACUGGCGGGCUUGAAUUCGGGAGAGGGAUGUGGAAUUCCAGGUGUAGCGGUGAAAUGCGUAGAUAUCUGGAGGAACACCGGUGGCGAAGGCGGCAUCCUGGACCGAGAUUGACGCUGAGGCGCGAAAGUGUGGGGAGCGAACAGG
rnacentral:rRNA from 1 species